GGACUACUGGGGUUUCUAAUCCUGUUUGCUCCCCUUGCUCUCGCGCCUCAGCGUCAGGUAAAAGCUAGAAAACCGCUUUCGCCACCGGUGUUCUUCCACAUAUCUACGCAUUUCACCGCUACACGUGGAAUUCCAUUUUCUCCGCCAUUCCUCAAGGUUUGUAGUUUCUAACGCAGCUCCGAAGUUGAGCUUCGGAAUUUCACGUCAGACUUACAAAUCCGCCUACGCGCCCUUUACGCCCAAUAAUUCCGAUUAAUGCUUGCACCUUCCGUAUUACCGCGGCUGCUGGCAC
rnacentral:rRNA from 1 species